rnacentral:rRNA from 1 species
AUGGAGGCAGCAGUAAGGAAUAUUGGACAAUGGGCGCAAGCCUGAUCCAGCCAUGCCGCGUGAGUGACGAAGGUCUUCGGAUUGUAAAGCUCUUUUGCCAGGGACGAUAAUGACGGUACCUGGAGAAUAAGCCCCGGCUAACUUCGUGCCAGCAGCCGCGGUAAUACGAAGGGGGCUAGCGUUGUUCGGAAUUACUGGGCGUAAAGCGCACGUAGGCGGAUUUAUAAGUCAGGGGUGAAAUCCCGGGGCUCAACCUCGGAACUGCCUUUGAUACUGUAAGUCUUGAGUCCGGAAGAGGUGAGUGGAAUUCCUAGUGUAGAGGUGAAAUUCGUAGAUAUUAGGAAGAACACCAGUGGCGAAGGCGGCUCACUGGUCCGGUACUGACGCUGAGGUGCGAAAGCGUGGGGAGCAAACAGGAUUAGAUACCCUAGUAGUCCA